rnacentral:lncRNA from 1 species
CCUCUGCCUUCCCACCCCAGGGAAGACAGACCCCACAUCACAGAGCUCAGCCCCUCUGCCAGGAACCCAGGGAGGAUGGUCAUCAUGCUUCACCAACUGCCAUUGAUGUCCAGAAAGAGAGUGAAGUAAAUAGCCCUUUGAUUUGUUGCUUCUCAGCUUCUUCAGAAAGUUGUCCUAAGGCUGUAGCUCAGGUCAAGAAUCCAUCAGAAAGAAAUCAUCUCAGCUGCCCAAGAAUGGUCUCGAGUCCAGCCACAGGGGCGCCAAAGCCAAUACCACUUUGACACAGAUGGGUAACCAGCC